CCUACGGGAGGCAGCAGUGGGGAAUCUUGCGCAAUGGGCGAAAGCCUGACGCAGCCAUGCCGCGUGAAUGAUGAAGGUCUUAGGAUUGUAAAAUUCUUUCACCGGGGACGAUAAUGACGGUACCCGGAGAAGAAGCCCCGGCUAACUUCGUGCCAGCAGCCGCGGUAAUACGAAGGGGGCUAGCGUUGCUCGGAAUUACUGGGCGUAAAGGGAGCGUAGGCGGAUAGUUUAGUCAGAGGUGAAAGCCCAGGGCUCAACCUUGGAAUUGCCUUUGAUACUGGCUAUCUUGAGUAUGGGAGAGGUAUGCGGAACUCCGAGUGUAGAGGUGAAAUUCGUAGAUAUUCGGAAGAACACCAGUGGCGAAGGCGGCAUACUGGCCCAUUACUGACGCUGAGGCUCGAAAGCGUGGGGAGCAAACAGGAUUAGAUACCCUGGUAGUCCACGCUGUAAACGAUGAGUGCUAGUUGUCGGCAUGCAUGCAUGUCGUGCGCAGCUACGCAUAAGACGACGUCCGCCGUGGGAGGUACGGUCGCGAAGUAAGUUAAACGUUAAAGUUAAGUAAGUUAGUUACGGUCGUUGAGACGUGCCGACGGACGACGACGAGGGAGGAGG
rnacentral:rRNA from 1 species